UUCCCCUUUUUUUCCCUUCCCUUUACCUUCACCCUCACGCCGCCCAAGCCCCCCUUGAAAAUUUUCUUCCUUUCCGUCGAUUGGAUCCGACCCCUUCAUCUACAUCUAUCAGCCGUCGCCAGCCGUUUGUGCCUCCAGCCAGAUGUCGCUGCUCCCCUCUCCCUCGCCCAACUGUGUUGAGGCUCAGAAGCCAGCCGUACGAAUUCAACUGUCUGCCAGAUCUGACGUUCGCCGUUCGGAUCUGAGAUGCGUCUAGCCAGCCGUUGAGCCGUUCGGGUCUGAGACGCGUCUAGCCAGUUCUAUUUGCCAAUCCAUGCUCACCAAGAGCCACCGCUCUUCAUCCGCACUAUCCAGAUUAUUAGUUGCGUGCUGCGCAGCCUUGUCCACUUUUGUAGCCAUACGUUGCCCAACCUCGACCCACGCACCGCUCAUCUAUCCAGCCUUGCAGACCUGUGUGCAGCGGUUGCUGCCAUUGCAGGUCUACCUUGCGGGUUUUCUUUCGCCACUGCUCUCGUCGGAUUUUUGAGAUUUUUUGGUGUCGGUGACGGUGAGUUCGUGUGGAGAUCAAGAGGAAUAUCAAGAGGGUCGGGAGUUUACAAAGGUCCUUUUAUGGUCGAACCACGUUAAAGACUGGUGUCUUCCUUCUUUCCCUUCUCUUUACUCUUCAUGCAUAGCAAUUUGAUCUUCAUCUUCUCAGAUCUCUCUAAGAAAAUUGACAGCAUUUCACCAUUGUUCUUCCCUCUCCCUCGAGUUCUCUGAAACAGAAAGAAUGAAAAAAGUGAGAUAGUCAUUCAAAGCUUCCAGACAAGUGAAUAUUGUAGUCUAAUCUUGGCCAUCAAUAUGUAGGGUCAAAAAGUGUUUUCACACAGAUUGUGCUUUCUGUAUAUGGUUUUAAUUCAGCUUAUAAUAUUAGCUGGUUUUCAAGUCAAAUUGGUUUUCUUAGUUUGGGCCUCGGUUGUUUCAUGGAAAAGCCCACUUCGUAUUGAAGACAACCCAACAACUAUUUUCCUCUAUGGACAUGUUAUUACAAAAGUCUUGGGGAAAAAAGUGGGAUUUGGUGUAAAUCCUCAUAAUGAAAAUAAGAAAGAAAAUGGUUGUAGAUCAAUUGAUCAAUAGCUUGAAUGUUAAAAAGAAAUCAUAAGAAAUUUCGUCGUCUGGAGAAUUCAUCUAAAAGAAGGGCUCAAUGGAGAGGCCAUAUUUGUUGUCAAAACAAAAAAGAUCCAAGUGUUGGAUUGGGUCAACCAAAUUGGAGGAAACCUUACGUUGGAGCUGACAUUGAUUGUGAAAUUUAGUAAGUCAUCGGUGCAAUUAAUUAAAGAAUGUUUCUCAAUCUAUCUAGUCAAUAAAACUUCCUCCUAGUUAGGUGAUAUGAAAAUCACAUCAGGAUGUUAGAUUUAUAAUAUAAACUCCAAUAAUUUAAUUCCCUUCUUAAAACAAAUCAUUAGUUUUUAUUUUCACUCAUGAAUUCUAGGCUUAAACUAAAGAACGUAAAAGAAAUCUCCAAGCCUGUGCUAAGAAAUAGGUUUUUAUAGAUUCUCUCAAAUAAGGAAGCUUAACAGUAAAUGUUUAGAUUAUAAGAUUUAUCUUGAGCUUCAUUAAAGUUUACUCUAGAAAGAGAAGGAAGGAAUAGCAACAUGAAGAAAUAGGAGGAGUAAGGUGUGAAAAUAAAAUGAUAGAGAGAGAAUCUUUGAUGGUUUAAAACAAACAACUAGAAACCAACAAACAAACAUAAACUAAAUUAGUUGGAGAUUGACCUUCUUUUCGACCACGAAGAAGUAAGUGAAAGUUUGUUUUGUUGUUGGGCUUAAAGAUCUGCACAAUUUUCUUCUGUAACUGUUGGAAACGGUAGGGCCCUCAGAACGACGAACUGUAAAUCAUCAAGGCAUGGUGGUCAAGCGAAGAGAAAAACCUGCAAAACAGAAACUCGUUAUAGGCUGAGUCACGGAGCCCGCUCUCUUUAAGACGUUUCAUGGCUCUGCCCAAGUGUGCAAGCAGGUCUGAAAAUUGCCACGUCGUCCCCAGGAUAAAACAGGCAAAUAAAAACUGAUCGAAAAUGCACCGUUAUCAAUCGAAACAUACACCCUUUCUAAACUCACUGCUUGGAAAGCUAAGAUGGAGAAGGAAGGGAAAUUGAAGUGGGAAUUUAGAAAAUGAAUUCUGUGUCUCACGAACUAUUGAAGGCCUCACCUUUUAUAGGUCUUCAACAUCGAAAUUGACCGUUUUAAAAUUAAUCAACGGACCGUUUUAAAAAUAAUCAAUGGACCAUUUUAAAUAGUAGUGAGAAACUCUCUAAUGCUACUGUGCUUACGACGCAUUUGACAUCUCUUUCCGUUAUAAUAACGGUUCUAAACUUUUGCGAUUGCAGUACUAUUGCAAUGGAUCAAUAUGGCUCGUAACAACUUUUCCCAUAAGGGAAUCUCUGAUAGCAGACUUCUAAGCUAGUCUGCUUCUUCACUAGCUGUCGCUAGUGCUAUCAUUUCUGACUCCAUCGUAGAUUGGGCUAAAAUAGUCUAUUUCUUGGACUUCCAAGAGAUAGCUCCGCCACCUAUAUUAAAGAUAUAGCUACUUGUAGCCUUUGAAUCAUCCGAAAGAGAGUUCCAAUCAACAUUGCUGAACCCUUCCAGGACAACGGGAAACUUUUGAUAAUGUAAUCGUAGGUUUUGGGUUUUCUUUAAGUAUCUCAUGAACCAUUCUAUAGCAUUCAAUUGCUCUUUACUAGGUCUGCUUGUAAACCUGCAAAGUAGUCUUACAGCAUAAGCUAUGUCAGGCCUAGUGCAGUCGGCAGCGUAUCUAAGACUGCCUAUGAUACUCGAAUACUCAGAUUGAUUAACACUGUCAUCAGUGUUCUUGAACAACUUGGCACUAGGGUCAUAAGAAGUACAAGCUGUUUUACACACAAAGUAGUUAUAUUUCUUUAGAAUCUUUUUUAUAUAGUGAGAUUGAUCCAAAGAAAUUCCCUUUUCAGACCUAUUUACUUUUAUGCCUAAGAUUACACUAGCUUCUCCUAAGUCUUUCAUGUCGAAGU